rnacentral:rRNA from 1 species
CCUCUAGCAUUUCCAGUAUUAGAAGGCACUUGCCUGCCCAGUGACAUCUGUUUAAACGGCCGCGGUAUCCUAACCGUGCAAAGGUAGCAUAAUCACUUGUUCCCUAAAUAGGGACUUGUAUGAAUGGCCACACGAGGGUUUUACUGUCUCUUACUUCCAAUCAGUGAAAUUGACCUUCCCGUGAAGAGGCGGGAAUGACUAAAUAAGACGAGAAGACCCUAUGGAGCUUUAAUUAACUGAUUCACAAAAAACAACACACAAACCUAACCUUCAGGGACAACAAAACUUUUGAUUGAAUCAGCAAUUUCGGUUGGGGUGACCUCGGAGAACAAAACAACCUCCGAGUGAUUUAAAUCCAGACUAACCAGUCAAAAUAUAUAAUCACUUAUUGAUCCAAACCAUUGAUCAACGGAACAAGUUACCCUAGGGAUAACAGCGCAAUCCUAUUCCAGAGUCCAUAUCGACAAUUAGGGUUUACGACCUCGAUGUUGGAUCAAGACAUCCUAAUGGUGCAACCGCUAUUAAGGGUUCGUUUGUUCAACGAUUAAAGUCUU